rnacentral:lncRNA from 1 species
UGUCACCUCUGUGUCAUGUCACCUCUGUGUCACUGUCAUUCACGUCAUGUCACCUCUGUGUCACUGUCACCCGCAUCAUGUCACCUGCAUCAUGACACCUCUGUGUCACUGUCACCCGCGUCACUGUCACCUCUGUGUCAUGUCACCUCUGUGUCACUGUCACCUCUGUGUCACUGUCACCUGCAUCACGUCACCUCUGUGUCACUGUCACCUCUGUCACUGUCACCCGUGUCGUGUCACCUGCGUUGUGUCACCUCUGUGUCACUGUCAUUCACAUUAUGUCACCUCUGUGUCGCUGUCAUCUCUGUGUCACUGUCACCC